GAGUAGUCCGAGUCCCUGGCAGGAUGAUGAAAUGGAAAGUUCGAGCAUGGAUGAGCAGUGUGAUUCCAGGAUGUUUAACUGGUGUGAAGUGAUGCAAACAGAAGUACAUGAGGGACCCUAUCCGCCAAUAUCACAAUGCUACGACUUGCUCAUCAGAUUAACAGUCAUCAUGCAAGCGGGGGCUUUUAUGAUAGACACCAAUCCACCACAUUCUUUUAUUUAUAAUUUUGAUCAGGAACCAUGUAUAUUAGGGGAAACAAAGAUUUGGG